GGUAGGUUGCUACAUACUUGGUUCUGUACUGGACUAACAACGUAACUGAAGAAAGUCAGGCUGGGCUACAGGGGCACUGUAGCUUCCUUGUGAAAACUGAAGGUACUACCUGAAUGGCUAUCCCAGUCUCUGGACAAACACAAGCACAUACAAACGGUGUGGCAUACAUCAUAGCCUCAUGACCCAAGUCGUUUCCCUGGACUUACACUACCUGGUAUCUCUGGCAUCCAAUGGAAUUU